ACUCUACGGGAGGCAGCAGUGGGGAAUUUGCACAAUGGGCGCAAGCCUGAUYCAGCCAUGCCGCGUGCGUGAAGAAGGCCUUCGGGUUGUAAAACUCAUAUUCWUUCAGGAGGAAAGGKUAGUAGUUAAUACCUGCUAGUUAUGACGUGUACUGUCAGAAKAAGCACCGGCUAACUCCGUGCCAGCAGCCGCGGUAAUACGGAGGGUGCGAGCGUUAAUCGGAAUUACUGGGCGUAAAGCGUACGCAGGCGGUUUGUUAAGCSAGAUGUGAAAUCCCCGGGCUCAACCUGGGAACUGCAUUUGKAACUGCCAAACUAGAGUGUGAUAGAGGGGGURGAAUUUCUUGGUWURGCGGUGAAAGCGUAGAUAUGGGKAGGAAUCCCGUGGCGAAGGCAGCCACCUGGGUCUACUACUUUUCUGUUUC
rnacentral:rRNA from 1 species